AUAAUGAGGGUCAUGGAAGAAAGAUGGUCAGCUCAGGGAGGUGUAUGUUUCUAUUGUGCAUUUGACAUGGUAUUGUAACUAUCCUCAUUCCUACAGGCAGCAUGAAAAGCAAACAUUGAAGAGGAAGGUAGCUUGGCAGAUGGACUUGGGCAGCAUGGAAGGUGAUACUGAGGCACCUGCAAGUCUUCGAAGAAGGAAGCAGGAGAUAUAGACAGAUUGGAAUGCACAUGGCCAGUAUGAUGCUGCUUCUUUUUCAACCCUUCCUUUAAAAAAGACAAAUGAGUGGAGAGUAAAGGAGAAAAUAUCCUAAGACAAUACGAAAAACUCUAAGCUUUACAUUUCUGCAAAAUGUGAUCAAGGAACAUUUUCAGAUGAAGUGCAGUGAAGACAUCUGGUUGCCUGCAUAAUUGAGGUAGUGCCAUUCUGCGUUUACUGCCUGUAGCUGGAGUGACUGUGCGCUGGCUGUGACAUCUCCUUUUGACUGAGGGGGUUUCAGACGUGCUCUUCAUGCACUAUGAUAGCAUGCAGAUAUGGUUUAUCACUUUCCCAGAGACUAAGAGCCAUGUGCAUACUGCAAAGAGCAAGAGGAGGAUUCUUGUCUCUCCAGCCAGCUGAUACUCAGGUACAGUGACUGGUACUUGUCUGAAGCUUUGAGACCGAAGUAGGAGAAACAAAUCUAAAUCUGCUACAAAUAAUGCGAUGAAACAGAAAUAUAUUUCAGAUGACUAAAAGCUGUGUUUUCUCCCCACUUCACUUCAGGUCAUUAGAAGAUUUGUGUGUCCAUUCUCCACAUAAAUAAAAACUUGUCUGUUUGCUUUGGAAACUGUCUUCUAGGGAAAGUGAGACUGCGUCAUGGGCUAUGUGAUGAGGUAGAACUCUGGUCAUAUGGGAACUAACAGAUUAGCUCAAUACAAAUUUAUAAAGUUGGCUUUGACUUUACUAGGACAACAGGAGCCUUGUCCAAGCA
rnacentral:lncRNA from 1 species